rnacentral:rRNA from 1 species
GAUGAACGCUGGCGGCGUGCCUAAUACAUGCAAGUCGAGCGAACAGACGAGGAGCUUGCUCCUCUGACGUUAGCGGCGGACGGGUGAGUAACACGUGGAUAACCUACCUAUAAGACUGGGAUAACUUCGGGAAACCGGAGCUAAUACCGGAUAAUAUAUUGAACCGCAUGGUUCAAUAGUGAAAGACGGUUUUGCUGUCACUUAUAGAUGGAUCCGCGCCGCAUUAGCUAGUUGGUAAGGUAACGGCUUACCAAGGCGACGAUGCGUAGCCGACCUGAGAGGGUGAUCAGCCACACUGGAACUGAGACACGGUCCAGACUCCUACGGGAGGCAGCAGUAGGGAAUCUUCCGCAAUGGGCGAAAGCCUGACGGAGCAACGCCGCGUGAGUGAUGAAGGUCUUCGGAUCGUAAAACUCUGUUAUUAGGGAAGAACAAAUGUGUAAUUAACUAUGCACGUCUUGACGGUACCUAAUCAGAAAGCCACGGCUAACUACGUG